CUAUAACGGUCCUAAGGUAGCGAAAUUCCUUGUCGGGUAAGUUCCGACCCGCACGAAUGGCGUAAUGACUUGGGCACUGUCUCAACAGCAAAUCCGGCGAAAUUGUAGUGCAAGUGAAGAUGCUUGCUACCCGCGAUAGGACGGAAAGACCCCGUAGAGCUUUACUGUAGCUUAACAUUGAAUUUCGGUAUUGUCUGUACAGGAUAGGUGGGAGACUUAGAAGCAGGAGCGUCAGUUUCUGUGGAGUCAUCCUUGGGAUACCACCCUGAUAGUACUGAAAUUCUAACCGGGGACCAUGAAUCUGGUCACGGGACAUUGUUAGGUGGGCAGUUUGACUGGGGCGGUCGCCUCCUAAAAAGUA
rnacentral:rRNA from 1 species